CCUCUGUGGGUGAAUAGGGGGAGGUAUGUGGAUAUCUGCUCCCUUCUCACUCAGACUGGCUGUGUUUAGCAGCCGGAAGUGGGAGGCAAUAACAGGUCUGUGAUGCCCUUAGAUGUUCUGGGCUGCACGCGCGCUACACUGACAGAGGCAGCGAGUAUUGCCUGGGCCGAGAGGUCUGGGAAAUCUUGGGAAACUCUGUCGUGCUGGGGAUAGAUCAUUGCAAUUAUUGGUCUUGAACGAGGAAUUCCUAGUAAGCGCAUGUCAUUAGCAUGCGUUGAUUACGUCCCUGCCCUUUGUACACACCGCCCGUCGCUACUACCGAUUGAAUGGCUUAGUGAGCCUUUUGGGGGAGGGGGAUCGUGAGGUUCCUGGCUGAAAUUAGGCAAACUUGGUCAUUUAGAGGAAGUAAAAGUCG
rnacentral:rRNA from 1 species